GCUGGAGAGAGCCAGUGAGAGCGGCGACGCUCGUAGUAUCCAGUAGACUGACUCGAGCUUCGUAGGGACAGACAACACUUGCUAGAGGCCAGCCAUAGAGAAGGUGGCAGGGGCUGUGAUGGCAGGCUACCUGUCCUGCUUGACGCCGCUGGUGCUGCUGCUGGUGCUCUGCUGGACGCCCUCACCUGCUCUCUCGCAGAGCAGACAGCCUGGGCAUCACAGGACUGUAGGGCAUGCAAGGCGACCAACGCACUCUCCAGGAGGUCAUGUCAGGCGUCCCCCGCACUCUAAGCAGACGCCACCAUCUGCAGGAGGGCAGAGGAGGCGCCCGCAACCUUCUGCAGGAGGGCAGCGAAGGCACCCGCAACCUUCUGCAGGAGGGCAGCGGAGGCACCCGCAACCUUCUGCAGGAGGGCAGCGGAGGCACCCACAACCUUCUGCAGGAGGGCAGAGGAGGCCGCAAUCGCCCGCUUCAGGAGGAGGAGGAAAUUUCGAAGCCUUAUUUGUAGGCGGGCAAAAUGCCAACAACCCGAGCACGGGAGCGUUGAUAUCAGGUUCCUCGGGAGGCUACCUCGC